rnacentral:rRNA from 1 species
AGAACGAACGCUGGCGGCGUGGAUAAGACAUGCAAGUCGAACGCGACUUACAGCGAUAGCAAUAUCAUUGUAAGUUGAGUGGCGAAAGGGUGCGUAACACGUGGGAAUUUACCAAGAAGUGGGGAAUAGCUCGACGAAAGUCGAAUUAAUACCGCAUAUGAUCGCAAGAUCAAAGCCGGGGACCGCAAGGCCUGGCGCUUUUUGAGAAGCCCGCGGCCCAUCAGCUAGUUGGCGGGUAAAGCCCACCAAGGCUAUGACGGGUAGCUGGUCUGAGAGGACGACCAGCCACACUGGAACUGAGACACGUCCAGACACCUACGGGUGGCAGCAGUCAGAAUUUUUCACAAU